GAAGGUAUAGCUCAAGUGGUAGAGCACAUGCUUAGCAUGCAUGAGGCCCUGGGUUCAAUCCCCAGUCCCUCA
rnacentral:tRNA from 1 species